rnacentral:rRNA from 1 species
CCUACGGGAGGCAGCAGUGGGGAAUAUUGCGCAAUGGACGAAAGUCUGACGCAGCAACGCCGCGUGAGGGAUGACGGCCUUCGGGUUGUAAACCUCUUUCAGCAGGGACGAAGCGAGAGUGACGGUACCUGCAGAAGAAGGACCGGCCAACUACGUGCCAGCAGCCGCGGUAAUACGUAGGGUCCGAGCGUUGUCCGGAAUUAUUGGGCGUAAAGGGCUCGUAGGCGGUUCGUCACGUCGGGAGUGAAAACUCGGAGCUCAACUCCGAGCCUGCUUCCGAUACGGGCAGACUAGAGGUAGGCAGGGGAGAGCGGAACUCCUGGUGUAGCGGUGGAAUGCGCAGAUAUCAGGAAGAACACCGGUGGCGAAGGCGGCUCUCUGGGCCUUACCUGACGCUGAGGAGCGAAAGCGUGGGUAGCGAACAGGAUUAGAUACCCUGGUAGUCCACGCCGUAAACGUUGGGCGCUAGGUGUGGGGGACAUUCCACGUCCUCCGUGCCGCAGCUAACGCAUUAAGCGCCCCGCCUGGGGAGUACGGCCGCAAGGCUAAAACUCAAAUGAAUUGACGG